CCCUGCUCAUAUUUUCUUCCCAACACAGCCGCAUAAAAACGAGCCCUAGCUCGACGGCGAUUGAUGAAGCUUCGUUAGAAGAGAUCGACGAAUCCUUAGCUAGCAUUCUCUCCAACAAGGCGUUCAAUUCUAAUGUAGCAGGGACAACAAGGUUCUUAGGAAUUGAGACCAGUCAAGAAGGAGCUUGAAGGCAUGCCAUGAAAGUUUUUUGAUUGUAUAUAUAUUAGUACAAUGCCACUGAAGUACUAUGUCGUAUAUAUGUCAUUGAUAUUUUAGUA